rnacentral:rRNA from 1 species
CUAAAGGAGCAAUUCGCUUUGGGAGGGACCUGCGUCCCAUCAGCUAGUUGGUGAGGUAAUGGCUCACCAAGGCUACGACGGGUAGGGGACCUGAGAGGGUGACCCCCCACAAUGGAACUGAAACACGGUCCAUACACCUACGGGUGGCAGCAGUAGGGAAUAUUGCACAAUGGGCGAAAGCCUGAUGCAGCAACGCCGCGUGUGCGAUGAAGGCCCUCGGGUCGUAAAGCACUUUUCUGAGAGAUGAGCAAGGACAGUAUCUCAGGAAUAAGUCUCGGCUAACUACGUGCCAGCAGCCGCGGUAAAACGUAGGAGGCAAGCGUUAUCCGGAUUCACUGGGCGUAAAGCGCGUGCAGGCGGUUCGGUAAGUUGGGUAUGAAAUCUCCUGGCUUAACUAGGAGAGGUUAUCCAAUACUACCGGACUUGAGAGUGGUAGAGGAAGAUGGAAUUCCCGGUGUAGUGGUGAAAUGCGUAGAUAUCGGGAGGAACACCAGUGGC